rnacentral:rRNA from 1 species
GACAGAGGAUGCAAGCGUUGUCCGGAAUUAUUGGGCGUAAAGAGCUCGUAGGCGGUUUGUCGCGUCUGCUGUGAAAACCCGAGGCUCAACCUCGGGCCUGCAGUGGGUACGGGCAGACUAGAGUGCGGUAGGGGAGAUUGGAAUUCCUGGUGUAGCGGUGGAAUGCGCAGAUAUCAGGAGGAACACCAAUGGCGAAGGCAGAUCUCUGGGCCGUAACUGACGCUGAGGAGCGAAAGCAUGGGGAGCGAACAGG